rnacentral:rRNA from 1 species
GACGAACGCUGGCGGCGUGCCUAAUACAUGCAAGUCGAGCGAAUCAGAUGGGAGCUUGCUCCCGGAUGAUUAGCGGCGGACGGGUGAGUAACACGUGGGCAACCUGCCCGGAAGAUUGGGAUAACUCCGGGAAACCGGUGCUAAUACCGAAUAGUUUCUGACACCUCAUGGUGUCAGAGGGAAAGUCGGCUUUUAGCUAACACUUACGGAUGGGCCCGCGGGGCAUUAGCUAGUUGGUGAGGUAACGGCUCACCAAGGGGACGAUGCGUAGCCGACCUGAGAGGGUGAUCGGCCACACUGGGACUGAGACACGGCCCAGACUCCUACGGGAGGCAGCAGUAGGGAAUCUUCCGCAAUGGACGAAAGUCUGACGGAGCAACGCCGCGUGAGCGGAGAAGGCCUUCGGGUCGUAAAGCUCUGUUGUCAGGGAAGAACAAGUGCCAUUCGAAUAGGUUGGCACCUUGACGGUACCUGACCAGAAAGCCACGGCUAACUACGUGCCAGCAGCCGCCGUAA